rnacentral:rRNA from 1 species
UACGUAGGGUGCAAGCGUUGUCCGGAAUUAUUGGGCGUAAAGAGCUCGUAGGCGGCUUGUCGCGUCGUCCGUGAAAACCUGCAGCUCAACUGCAGGCUUGCGGUCGAUACGGGCAGGCUAGAGUUCGGUAGGGGAGACUGGAAUUCCUGGUGUAGCGGUGAAAUGCGCAGAUAUCAGGAGGAACACCGAUGGCGAAGGCAGAUCUCUGGGCCGUAACUGACGCUGAGGAGCGAAAGCAUGGGGAGCGAACAGG